rnacentral:rRNA from 1 species
GACGUAGGGCGCGAGCGUUGUCCGGAAUCAUUGGGCGUAAAGAGCGUGUAGGCGGCCCGGUAAGUCCGCUGUGAAAGUCCAGGGCUCAACCCUGGGAUGCCGGUGGAUACUGUCGGGCUCGAGUCCGGAAGAGGAGUGUGGAAUUCCUGGUGUAGCGGUGAAAUGCGCGGAUAUCGGGAGGAACACCAAUGGCGAAGGCAGCUCGCUGGGACGGUACUGACGCUGAGACGCGAAAGCGUGGGGAGCAAACAGG